rnacentral:lncRNA from 1 species
GCUAUGGACCAGCCACACAAGUCCGAUGGCUUCAAGGUAACAGUAAGAAAGCUCCUUUGAGUUGAGUUGUUUUUUAUUAAAGCUGUUGUGAUAGUUAUUUAUUAGUAACUGGUUAUGAACAUCUGUUCUUUGAGAGUAUUCUCUGACUGUAUUUCUAGCAGUUAUGAAUUUGAGUUUGUAAGUUGUUCUUAAAAUGUAUUUGCUCACUUCUAGAUCCAAAUAAAGAUAGAAAGAAGCAAAGACUGAAAAUUAGUAUAUGGAUUCUUCCUUACCCAUAUAGCUGCUUAUAAAGGAAAAAAAAAAUAGCAAAAUGAAGAUAAAAGCCGUAAGGUGUAUUGCCCCUUUUCUUUUACUCAGUCAUCCUGCGGCUACUGAGAUGAGUUUAGUACUGGCUGGUGUACACCACUGUGGUGGGUGUUUCCCAUGUUGUAAAUGCCCUGGCUGAGUACCCGCCGGCCUUAUUCCAGGAGCAGGGGUCUUCUGUCAGCUAUCUCUCAGUGCAGAGGAUCUUCGAUUCUAAGUUUAGUAGCCACCUUACUCCCUUAUCUUCAGUUAUCACAAGCUUAAGCAAUUAAAAGAGAAAGGCUAGGUCAGCAACUCUGCUUUUGAUUUUUAAAAUUAUUUUCUGAGAAUCCCAGCAAAAUAUAAAAAGGAUAGUGGACAGUCUUGAUUUGUGUCUGACCAAGAUACCUGAAUGUAUCUUUAGCUAAAGCACUUAGUCUAUCUGGCCCUUGAUCUCUUCACUGGCAAGUGAAGGAGUUAGGAGGGUUUUCCUUUAAAGUCCCUUUCAGCUCCAAACGUUCCUAUUUUCCUUGGGAGCUGGCUAUAUCCCUGAACACUGUCACGUGUCUAAUAGGACCUAGGUUUUUACAGUGUUUUAAACAUUUGUAAGAUCUUUGUAAAUGCUCUAGAUGUUUUAUUUUUGAAUUAUUUUUACCUCAAAAUUGUAUAAGCUUUUUUAUAUCGGAAAAAAAAGCACUAGAUGGCCACUUCAGGCUCCUUGCCACCUUAGAGAUGCAGAAGGCUCCGAGACCACUUGGCUACAGGUAACUUACUUUCCACCAUUUGAAGUGUCAUAAUUUGGCUGGCUAGUCAGUUAGGAAGUGACUGCACACAGAACAGACUCUGCAGAGGAGACGUUUCAGGCCGAGGGCUGCAGUUAGCACAAGCACAGGUCCGCUUCUCCAGCGACAUGAUCUCAUGCCAGUGUAGGACGACUGAGUAGCUGUGCCCUCCAACCUUCGUGUGAUGUGCCCAGUGUAGAUGAAUAUGAUUGUGAAGAAUUAAUAGAUAUAUAUAUGCCAGUUACUAACUUAAAGUGUAUAGAAUAUUUUAAUAUAUAAUUUUUUGUAAAGAACUGGGAUUUUUAUACUACAGUAUUUGUAAUUAAUGUGUCUCACUAAUUAAAUUUCUCUUGAAGAAAAUAUGCAAACUAUUAGACACAUGAGUGGCUUUUGAACUCUAAAGAUAAAAUAAAUGCACUACUCUGGUGUUGUUAGGAUACCUUUUGGGUACAUGAAUCUUCCUAAUUCAAAGGGUCCUGUCCAAGCAGUGUUUACAAGGAGGCCUUUGGUUCCCACGGGGAGAGCUUCACUCUGCCUUCAUUUAAUUUAUGUGCUUUGCUUUGGCAGCGCUUGCUUUUUGCACUAGUAGACUUUGAACUUACCUCAUUAUUAUGUUUGUAAUCAUUGUGUAGCUUCCAUGAUGUGUCUGAUAGAAGCUAAACAUGUCUUAACCAAAGUUACAUGGGAUGCAGAUUUGCACAUAUGGACUAGUAAGUAGGCUUUGCUGUAUAUGUGUGCUCAGCUAAGAAGAGUAGCCAGUUUUAGAAAGUGUGUGUUUUAAGCCCAGUUACUUUAGUAGAAAACUUUGGGCUUCCAGUCCUAUUCUUUGUAUUAAUUAGCAGUUUGCAUCUUGAAACCAUUUAUCUUACUAUUGAGGCAAAGGUUGAUGUCAAGCAGACGAGAACGCUGAGUUUGUGCUCAUUUUACCUAUUUAGUAUGCGGUUUAGUUGAUUUUGCUUAAAGGCAUCACCUUCUUUUCUAUUCUAGACCAGGAAAAAGAUGUGGGCCCAUGGUUCUAAUACCCGAUUUGCUUCUUUGAAGAAAGGGUGGCCUUUCUAUACUAAGCGAUUUGUUACAAUAAUAAACCUUUUUACCUCAAGAAUUGCCCAAAUUGUAUUUUUUCCAUUGGCAUUACUUCCUUAGCAUAAAUCAUGUUUCUGUUAUGGGACUGGUGGCUGAAAGAUCCCCUUAGCAGAUCUGUGUGGCUUUGCUGUUAGCAAUUCCUAUGGUGCUAGAGCUGCAUGUCUGUGAGAGCAGCUGUUCUGCCAACAUGCAUAGCGGGGGGCUUCUAAGGACUGCACGUCGUCAGCUGCCGUCUUCAGCACGCAGACCUUGGGUUUUUUGUUUGUUUGUAUGUGUGUGUGUGUGUGUGUGUGUGUGUGUGUGUGUGUGCAUGUGUGUGUGCGUGUGUGUGCACGCUGGAGAACUGGAGAUUGACCUUGGGGCCUGGGCACCUAGGCUAGUGUUCUAAUAGCAAGCAACACCACAGCCCAGGCAGAUAACUCUUCCAAGAGGAUUUUACCUAAGUUAAGUUUCUUUCUUUUGUCUCCAAGCUGUAUAGCUGUCUUUGUGUCACAAGCCUCUUCCAUGUGUUCUGGACUUUGGUUCACAUAAGUAAAAAUACUGUUGAUACUGCAUGCUCUUAGAAUUAUGUUUUUUUAAAUACUGUAUUGGCCUUAUUUUAUUUUAGCGCAUUGUUUUAACUAGAAAUAAGUUAUAUAUAAACUCAGUCUGUAUUUAAGAACUAAGAGAAUCUGUUUGCAUGGGAGGCACCUUUGCCCCAUAACCCAGUUACAUGUUAAGUCACCUGCAGAGGAGUGAAGCUGCCACUCAGUAUCUCACAGGCUUGCAGACGAGCAAAAAUCGCUUCUGCUUUAGAGUGUCUGCUCUAACUAAGGGGCUUUAUUUAAAACAAUAGCAUAGUAACGUAAAGACAUUUGUUAUGUUCUGUCUGGAGUGAUUGGUAUCUGGGGGUUACUCCUGUAGUAAGCUGCUCCCAAGUGGAGAGACUGCGAGUAGGCUUGGUCUUUGGCCAUUUGAAGUAACUGCUGUGCUUCCCAAGACUGGUUUUAGGCAGUUGUAUGUAUUGUGUACCAAUGAUAUGUAAAAUAAAAGUUCCUUUUUCU